UAGGGAAUCUUCCGCAAUGGACGCAAGUCUGACGGAGCAACGCCGCGUGAGUGAAGAAGGAUUUCGGUUCGUAAAACUCUGUUGUUAGAGAAGAACAGCGCAUAGAGUAACUGUUAUGCGUGUGACGGUAUCUAACCAGAAAGCCACGGCUAACUACGUGCCAGCAGCCGCGGUAAUACGUAGGUGGCAAGCGUUGUCCGGAUUUAUUGGGCGUAAAGCGAGCGCAGGCGGUCAAUUAAGUCUGAUGUGAAAGCCCCCGGCUCAACCGGGGAGGGUCAGUGGAAACUGGUUGACUUGAGUGCAGAAGAGGAGAGUGGAAUUCCAUGUGUAGCGGUGAAAUGCGUAGAUAUAUGGAGGAACACCAGUGGCGAAGGCGACUCUCUGGUCUGUAACUGACGCUGAGGUUCGAAAGCGUGGGUAGCAAACAGG
rnacentral:rRNA from 1 species